GAUGAACGCUGGCGGCGUGCCUAAUACAUGCAAGUCGAGCGAACAGAUGAGGAGCUUGCUCCUCUGACGUUAGCGGCGGACGGGUGAGUAACACGUGGAUAACCUACCUAUAAGACUGGGAUAACUUCGGGAAACCGGAGCUAAUACCGGAUAAUAUAUUGAACCGCAUGGUUCAAUAGUGAAAGACGGUUUUGCUGUCACUUAUAGAUGGAUCCGCGCCGCAUUAGCUAGUUGGUAAGGUAACGGCUUACCAAGGCGACGAUGCGUAGCCGACCUGAGAGGGUGAUCGGCCACACUGGAACUGAGGCACGGUCCAAACUCCUAAGGGAGGCAGCAGUAGGGAAUCUUCCGCAAUGGGCGAAAGCCUGACGGAGCAAAGCCGCGUGAGUGAUGAAGGUCUUCGGAUCGUAAAACUCUGUUAUUAGGGAAGAACAAAUGUGUAAGGAACUAUGCACGUCUUGACGGUACCUAAUCAGAAAGCCACGGCUAACUACGUG
rnacentral:rRNA from 1 species